AGUGACCCGGAUGAUCUCUUCGGCCUUCCAGUUCUGGAUUUCCAUCCCUGGUGUGCACGGCUUUAUCCAUUGGUCGAUGUCGCAGUCACUAUCAAUAUCUUCACCCAUCAUACAGAUGUGAUCCGGAUCCAGCAUUCCGGCGCUUGUGAAGGUUACUGACGUACGACGUCCUCUUCCUCGUCCUGAGCCUCGGCCCGGUUGAUAUCCAACCCCAAAACGGUCCUUCUUCUCAGGGACCUCCAU
rnacentral:lncRNA from 1 species